ACCUACUUAACUCAGUGGUUAGAGUAUUGCU
rnacentral:tRNA from 1 species